rnacentral:rRNA from 1 species
UACGGGGGGGGCAAGCGUUGUUCGGAAUUACUGGGCGUAAAGGGCUCGUAGGCGGCCAACUAAGUCGAACGUGAAAUCCCUCAGCUUAACUGGGGAACUGCGUCCGAUACUGAUUGGCUUGAAUCCGGAAGAGGGAUGCGGAAUUCCAGGUGUAGCGGUGAAAUGCGUAGAUAUCUGGAGGAACACCGGUGGCGAAGGCGGCAUCCUGGGUCGGUAUUGACGCUGAGACGCGAAAGCGUGGGGAGCAAACAGG